AUUGGACGCUGGCGGCAGGCUUAACACAUGCAAGUCGAGCGGGGUGAUGGUGCUUGCACUAUCACUUAGCGGCGGACGGGUGAGUAAUGCUUAGGAAUCUGCCUAUUAGUGGGGGACAACAUCCCGAAAGGGAUGCUAAUACCGCAUACGUCCUACGGGAGAAAGCAGGGGAUCACUUGUGACCUCGCGCUAAUAGAUGAGCAUAAGUCGGAUUAGCUAGUUGGUGGGGUAAAGGCCUACCAAGGCGACGAUCUGUAGCGGGUCUGAGAGGAUGAUCCGCCACACUGGGACUGAGACACGGCCCAGACUCCUACGGGAGGCAGCAGUGGGGAAUAUUGGACAAUGGGGGGAACCCUGAUCCAGCCAUGCCGCGUGUGUGAAGAAGGCCUUAUGGUUGUAAAGCACUUUAAGCGAGGAGGAGGCUCUUUUGGUUAAUACCCAAGAUGAGUGGACGUUACUCGCAGAAUAAGCACCGGCUAACUCUGUGCCAGCCGCCGCGGUAA
rnacentral:rRNA from 1 species